GUGCCAGCCGCCGCGGUAAUACGGAGGGUCCGAGCGUUAUCCGGAAUCAUUGGGUUUAAAGGGUCCGCAGGCGGUCAAUUAAGUCAGAGGUGAAAUCCCAUAGCUUAACUAUGGAACUGCCUUUGAUACUGGUUGACUUGAGUCAUAUGGAAGUAGAUAGAAUGUGUAGUGUAGCGGUGAAAUGCAUAGAUAUUACACAGAAUACCGAUUGCGAAGGCAGUCUACUACGUAUGUACUGACGCUGAGGGACGAAAGCGUGGGGAGCGAACAGGAUUAGAUACCCUGGUAGUCCACGCCGUAAACGAUGGAUACUAGUUGUUGGGCAUUAGCUCAGUGACUAAGCGAAAGUGAUAAGUAUCCCACCUGGGGAGUACGGUCGCAAGACUGAAACUCAAAGGAAUUGACGGGGGCCCGCACAAGCGGUGGAGCAUGUGGUUUAAUUCGAUGAUACGCGAGGAACCUUACCAGGGCUUAAAUGUAGUCUGACAGCUUUAGAGAUAGAGUUUUCUUCGGACAGAUUACAAGGUGCUGCAUGGUUGUCGUCAGCUCGUGCCGUGAGGUGUCAGGUUAAGUCCUAUAACGAGCGCAACCCCUGUCAUUAGUUGCCAGCAUGUAAAGAUGGGGACUCUAAUGAGACUGCCGGUGCAAACCGCGAGGAAGGUGGGGAUGACGUCAAAUCAUCACGGCCCUUACGUCCUGGGCCACACACGUGCUACAAUGGUAUGGACA
rnacentral:rRNA from 1 species